GUUUGUGUAGCUCAAGUGGUUUGAGUAAUGUAUUUGUAUUGGAGAGAUCCCAAGUUCGAGCCUCAUGAAUA
rnacentral:tRNA from 1 species